rnacentral:rRNA from 1 species
AACAGGAUUAGAUACCCUGGUAGUCCACGCCGUAAACGAUGUCGACUUGGAGGUUGUGCCCUUGAGGCGUGGCUUCCGGAGCUAACGCGUUAAGUCGACCGCCUGGGGAGUACGGCCGCAAGGUUAAAACUCAAAUGAAUUGACGGGGGCCCGCACAAGCGGUGGAGCAUGUGGUUUAAUUCGAUGCAACGCGAAGAACCUUACCUACUCUUGACAUCCAGAGAACUUAGCAGAGAUGCUUUGGUGCCUUCGGGAACUCUGAGACAGGUGCUGCAUGGCUGUCGUCAGCUCGUGUUGUGAAAUGUUGGGUUAAGUCCCGCAACGAGCGCAACCCUUAUCCUUUGUUGCCAGCGGUUCGGCCGGGAACUCAAAGGAGACUGCCAGUGAUAAACUGGAGGAAGGUGGGGAUGACGUCAAGUCAUCAUGGCCCUUACGAGUAGGGCUACACACGUGCUACAAUGGCAUAUACAAAGAGAAGCGACCUCGCGAGAGCAAGCGGACCUCAUAAAGUAUGUCGUAGUCCGGAUUGGAGUCUGCAACUCGACUCCAUGAAGUCGGAAUCGCUAGUAAUCGUGGAUCAGAAUGCCACGGUGAAUACGUUCCCGGGCCUUGUACACACCGCCCGUCACACCAUGGGAGUGGGUUGCAAAAGAAGUAGGUAGCUUAACCUUCGGGAGGGCGCUUACCACUUUGCGAUUCAUGACUGGGGUGAAGUCGUAACAAGGUAACC